rnacentral:lncRNA from 1 species
AUGCUAUGAGGUGUUUGUGAUGUUUUUGUGAAGAAUCAAAAAGGGUUGCGUGUGAAUGAUGGAAUUGUGGGACCUCUCUAUAUUAUGGGGCUAGUUUGAUUGAAUUGGUGUAUUGGCGAUGCAGGAUAGCAUUUCUAGUUGUGGAUUUGCUAUUAGAGUGCAUGAUGUAAAUUUGAAAUGUUGAUAAUUUUGUUGUAAUGAGAAAUCAAAUUGUAUUGAAUUAUGUAUGUUGGUUUUGAAUGGUCAUGAAUGAAAAUUGUAUUGAAUUAUGUAUGUUGGUUGUGAAGGGUUAUGAAUGAAAAUUGUAUGGAAAUGGAAUUGGCUUAUCAUGUGCAAUGCUCUAUUACAUAUUUACAAUAAAAAUGCACCAAUCUUUC